rnacentral:tRNA from 1 species
UGGCUCAGUGGUAGUGAACCUGACUUGUAACCAGGGGAUGCAGGUUCAAUCCCUGC